rnacentral:rRNA from 1 species
GCGCACCAGGCGAGAAUACUUUACAAUGUGCGAAAGCACGAUAAGGGAACUCUGAGUGCCUCCUAAGGAGGCUGUUCAGGUGUCUAAAAAGCACCUGGAGUAAGGGCUGGGUAAGACCGGUGCCAGCCGCCGCGGUAACACCGGCAGCCCAGGUGGUAGCCACUUUUAUUGGGUCUAAAGCGUCCGUAGCCGGUUGAGUAAGUUCCUUGGGAAAUUUGGCUGCUCAACAGUCAAGCUUCCAGGGAAUACUGCUCGACUUGGGGACUGGGAGAGGUCAGAGGUACUCCGAGGGGUAGGGGUGAAAUCCAUUAAUCCCUGGGGGACCACCGGUAGCGAAGGCGUCUGACCAGACCAGGUCCGACGGUGAGGGACGAAGGCUAGGGUCGCGAACCGGAUUAGAUACCCCCGUAGU